GGGAGCAUUUUUGCUAGUUGGAGGACUUUAUUGCGUGCUAUGGGGAAAGACGAAAGAGGAAGAAAGGGAGAAAGGGAUAUGUCCAGCAAUAAUUGAUGAAGAGAAAGCCGUUAAUGAAGGAUCAAAAGAAGAGACCAUUACAUAGAUAUACAUAUAUUUACAUACACAUACAUAUAAAUAUAUAUAAUAUUUUUCCUCCACAUUCAAGGGCCAUGCUUCUCAAUGGGCACGGGAUUCAUAGUAGGUGUAAAGUUAAGUUC
rnacentral:lncRNA from 1 species